rnacentral:misc_RNA from 1 species
GAUUCUGCGCCAACGACCCAGUACCGCAUUGCAGAAAAGAACCGAAUCCUGAAAAGUGCGUGGAAACUUUCCUGGGUUUCUGCACUAGAACGUGCAUUAAGUUGGAAUACGAAAGACAAAAUCCGGAAAUUUCAAAAAUCAACGCGGAAUGCAUCAAGACGUGUGAUACUUCUUACACCACACAAUGCCAUAGGAGGAAUUGCAGGACAAUUUCAAGAAAAACGUGCAGAUGCACCGAAAAGAAAAAACCGACUUGUGACGCGAUUUGCUCUGAAAAAUCCACAAUAUGUCAAAACGGAAAUUGCAUAACCAAUGAAGGUUUAUGCAAAUUUAUUUGCCCAUAAUGAUAGAGAUCGGCAUACGAAGAAAAUUGGGUAGCCGUUAUGAAUAUACAUUGUAUAAUACUGUUUGAAAUAAAAAUAGUUAUCUG